rnacentral:lncRNA from 1 species
CCGCCCACUGCUCGGCCACCCCUCCCCCCUUGAAUCCCGCCCUCCAGCUGUUCCAAAAACACUUGAGUUCCUUGAACGCACCAUGCCCUCUCCGCCUCUGCAGCUUUGCCAAGGGCUUGUCUUCUGUACGAGGUCCAGCUCUUCUAGGCAGUGGAGAGACGUGAGGACCUGGCCCCACGGACAGAAGUCUGGGACAAAAUGUUCUGUCGGAGCUUCAGAGCUCUUUCAGAUCUUUCGAGAGGUGAGAAUGGACUGGUCCGGCAUCUACAGGCCGCUCCCAGUGCAGCUGCCACGCCCCCUCUAGCCCAGUCCGCACACCUUCUAGGUCUGCUGCUCUGAGGCCCCGGGUGCCUCGUGUUGCUGCUGACAGAGGGCUGAGGGACCCCCUGUAAAACGUUCCAAAACAGGUCGGUGCUUGGUCUGCAUGAAUCCCCCCAGAAUUCCAGUGUUGAAAUCCUAAUGCCCGAAGUGAUGGGAUCAGGAGGUGAGGCCUUUGUGGGGGUGAUGAGGUGAUGAGGGCAGAGCCGUCAUGAGAUUAAUGUCCUUAUAAAAGAGGCUCCAGCAAGACCCCUCAGCCCCUUUUGCCUUGUGAGGACAGAAGGGGAAGUCUGCAGACUGGGUGUGGCCCUCAUACACCCCUUGUUGGCACGCCAACCUCAGAGCACCAGCCUCCAGGGCUGUGAGAAACACAUUUCUGUUGUAAAGAACCCAGUCCAUGGUAUUUUUAUUGUAACGGCCUGAGAUAGAAGUGAUCUUCCAGACAAACUGAAUUUUUCCUCCAGUCUGUGAGUUUGCAAGCCUUGAAUGGAGAAAGUCCGCUUACCUUCUCCCUGCCCAGGGAGCCACAAAGUGGGUUUUUCAUGAAAACUCUAGCAUGUGGGGGAGGGGGAAAUAGAGGGAAAAUGAGAGAGAGAAGUAGUCCUGCAAGUCUGACCCUUAACUUUUCACAUCUGACCUCCACCUGAACUCAAGCUAGAAUGUCUGCCAUUCCGGGGGCUCACGUGUUAUUUCUCUAGCAUGCUUUUUACUUUGGCUUCCUAGGUGGUACAGUGGUAAAGAAUCCGCCUGCCAAUGCAGGAGAGGCAAGAGACACUUGUUCGAUCCCUGGGUCUGGAAGGUCCUCUGGAGAAGGAAAUGGCAACCCACUCCAGUAUUCUUGCCUAGAAAAUUCCAUGGACAGAGGAGCCUGGUGGGCUACAGUCCAUGGGGUUGCAAAGAGUUGGACACGACUGUGCGACUGAGCACACUUUUUACUUGGAUGUGUUUCAGAAUUUGAAAACAUCCCACCAGAGCACUUUGGUUAGUUGUAUACUCUAUUUCUGCUUACCGGGUAAUGUGAUAAGCAUUGCUGUAAGAAGGCCGCUUAGGAUGAAGUAACUUUCUGGGAGUUGUGAGCCACCAGGAGGCAUUCCAGCAUCUAACGCACAGUAGGUGCUCUACAGUGCAUCGUCAAGAAAUGCUUUUUCCUGGUUGCGCUAAUUCUUCAUUCUCAUUGUGAAAAGCAGGCUAAAAUUAUUCUUUUAUCUCACUUUUUAAUUUCAGUAACAUCUAUUUAGUACCUAGUGUGAAAGACAUGAUGCUUGGUGUUAUGGAAAAUAUGAACAUGAAUAAAAUAAGGGGUGGGCACUAGAGGGAGCCA